AAAAAAGGUCAUUGUUAGUUGGGAAUAGAGAACUACAAUAGUUCUUACCAGUUUAGAUUAACUGGUAAGAAAGACCACCAACCCCACAGGAUUGCUUUUGUGUCUGGAGAAAAAAGUGUAUGUAUUCAUUUGCCAAACAGAGAUGGAGAAGUAAAUUCCUGCUGAAAUUUCUCAAGCACCACCUGUUCCCCUCGUAACUCCAGUUCCAAAUAACUACAGUUUGCCAACAGAAAUCAGAUAGAAGAAACAGAAAAGGAAUAAUACCAGCACAGAUACCGGCACACCUCCACUGGAGAUCAGCCACAAUCUUUCAUAUCAAAUGCUGAUUCUCCUGAUGAGAUUUGUGAUGUCUCUUCCUUGACCCUGAAGUAAAAAUUGUGUAGAACAAGAAUUCUUCGGUUGAGAAAUGUGAUAACAAACUUUUACAUGAACUCUCCCACUUAAAUUCUAAAUUUUCACUGAAUAACCCUGCUUAGUCCAUGUGUUUGUAUAGAGAAAGAGUAUGAUACCAUGCAAAAAAAAGAGGAUAAGUGGAAUUACAUCAUACUGUUAUUGCAACCCUGAUGCUGCUCCAUCACUCUUUCACUGUUCGUAGUCUGUCAGAGGCUACAUCCAAUGAGUGUGUAUAGUAUUUUGCCUGGUGUAAGAUGUUCAUUCGAAGACCAUUUCCGGUAAUUUACUCCUACUUGCAAGACUUCCAGUAAUAUUUCUACUCUGGACAGUUAUUUCAUAGGGUCAUCAACCUUUGACUUUCUAACUCCUCUGGUGAAGGAAGACAUGGCAUCUGCUUUUGCAGGCCUUAUUUUAGACCUAUCAUUAAAUUUUUUGAUUCACACCUCAGGGAAACUAAAGUUAGUAUAUAUGAUUUUUUAAAUGUAAUUAAAAAUUGCAAGAAAAUUUGGGGAGCUAUUUUAAUCUAAUUAUAUGCAGGGUAUUUCACUGGAUAUAAGUCACAAAAUGCCACGUGUCUGUGGGCAACUUCACAUCUGUUAUUCUUCAAUGAUUUACCUGCCAUGAAACAGAUGACAAGUCAUACAGAGAAGGUGAAAAGUAAAAGCUAUAAAGUCUAAAUGAAAACUUUGUGAGGCAUAAAAAAAUAUCCUUUUUCAAUCAUUGAGCCUGCCUCAUGAAGGUUGACUUUUAUAUGAUGGAUGAACGUGGACCGCUACCCUUUAGUUUAGUAUACCGAUGUCAGACUACCACAUACAGUGCAGUUUUCUUGAUUAGUCCAUCUUAUUGAGAUAGAUGUCUCCCCUUCCGGUUAGCAGCCUACAUUUUGGUGCCAAACUGCAAGUUUUAAUCCCAAUAUCUGAAGUGAACUCUUUCCUGGUGACUAAAGUGUGAAAUAAAGUGCCAUGAACAUCUCAUCUUGGUAAAUAUUUUUUCUUUAUUGAAUUUUUUCUUGUUUAUUUAUUGACUUUGGAGUUGGGUAAAAAAAAUUGAUAUCAAUCAUAUUCAGUGCUGAAAAUCUUCAGAAAAAUCACUUAACUGCAAUCCAGCAUCCAUAAAAGAACAU